GACGAACCGUGCGAACGUUGUUCGGAUUCACUGGGCUUAAAGGGCGCGUAGGCGGGUGAUCAAGUCCGGGGUGAAAUACUCCAGCUUAACUGGAGAAUAGCCCUGGAUACUGGUCGUCUUGAGGGAGGUAGGGGCAUGUGGAACUUCCGGUGGAGCGGUGAAAUGCGUAGAUAUCGGAAGGAACGCCGGUGGCGAAAGCGAUGUGCUGGACCUCUUCUGACGCUGAGACACGAAAGCGUGGGUAGCAAACAGG
rnacentral:rRNA from 1 species